CCUACGGGUGGCAGCAGUGGGGAAUAUUGGACAAUGGGCGAAAGCCUGAUCCAGCCAUGCCGCGUGUGUGAAGAAGGCCUUCGGGUUGUAAAGCACUUUCAGUGGGGAAGAAAGCCUUGGGGCUAAUACCCUCGAGGAAGGACAUCACCCACAGAAGAAGCACCGGCUAACUCCGUGCCAGCAGCCGCGGUAAUACGGAGGGUGCGAGCGUUAAUCGGAAUUACUGGGCGUAAAGCGCGCGUAGGCGGUCUGAUAAGCCGGUUGUGAAAGCCCCGGGCUCAACCUGGGAACGGCAUCCGGAACUGUCAGGCUAGAGUGCAGGAGAGGAAGGUAGAAUUCCCGGUGUAGCGGUGAAAGGCGUAGAGAUCGGGAGGAAUACCAGUGGCGAAGGCGGCCUUCUGGACUGACACUGCCGCUGAGGUGCGAAAGCGUGGGUAGCAAACAGGAUUAGAUACCCCUGUAGUC
rnacentral:rRNA from 1 species